GGGAAUGUGGCUUAGUGGUAGAGUGCUUGCUUAGCAUGCAUGAAGCCUUGGGUUCGAUUCCUCAGCACCCCA
rnacentral:tRNA from 1 species